GACAGAGGAUGCAAGCGUUAUCCGGAAUGAUUGGGCGUAAAGCGUCUGUAGGUGGCUUUUUAAGUCCGCCGUCAAAUCCCAGGGCUCAACCCUGGACAGGCGGUGGAAACUACCAAGCUGGAGUACGGUAGGGGCAGAGGGAAUUUCCGGUGGAGCGGUGAAAUGCAUAGAUAUCGGGAAGAACACCAACGGCGAAAGCACUCCGCUGGGCUGAUACGACACUGACAGACGAAAGCUAGGGUAGCGAAAGGG
rnacentral:rRNA from 1 species